ensembl:lncRNA
UGCACGCAUAUGCUCACAAUCCUUGAAGAGCAGCAGAUCUAGGAGGGAGGUGGGAGGCAGCCAGUUGGAGGACUUGAUGUGUCUUAGUGUCCCCGAGAGUUACCCUCACUUCUAUUCACUGCCUAUUUGCUUUCUGAUCUACAGAGAUCACCGCAUCUAUCUGAGUUCAUGUGAAAAACAACCCUUAACUGGACCCUGCUGUCAUAUUAUAGAAUCAUUAAGGCUGGAAAAGACCUCUAAGAUUGUGAGGUUCAACCACCAAACCAUCCCCACUAUGCCCACUGACUGUGUCCCUCAGGGUCACGUCUCCACAGGCCUUGAACAUCUCCAGGAACGGACCUCCUGGCAACAAUAGUACAAUACUCUGAUUUCAGAACAGUGUAUGUUGUACUGAGAGCCAUACCUAAAAUAUCUGUGGAUUCUAGAACAGAACGUUCAGGCCUAUUGUCCUGGGAAAACUAAAAAUGAACAAAAUCAAUUUCAUAGAUGGUUCAGAUGUUAAUGCCUACCUUGUGUCUGAGGCAAAAAAUAAACACAGAUGUACAGAUAUUAUUUAACUCACAUGAAAGAGAAGUCAUUUUCCAACCAUGCUGCAACUGCAUUUAAUGGAAAACUCACAGGUAAUCUCCUCCUCAGUUCUCUCUCUCAAGCAAGAUGAGACAGAGGGAGCACUUCCAAAAUUUCCAUCACAUAAAUUAUCAUAGAAUCCUUAGAGUUGGAAGGGACCCUUAAAGGCCAUCUAGUCCACCUCCCCUGGAAUGAAGAGGGACACCUACAGCUACAUCAGGUUGCCCAGAGUCCUGACCAGCCUGACCUUGAGUGUCUCCAGGUAUGAGGCAUCCAUCUCCUCUCUGGGCAACCUCUGCCAGUGCUUCACGACCAAGAAGAGAAAGAUGAAGAAGAUGAAGAUGACAAAGAAGACAGAGAAGUAAAAGAAAAAAAAAAAAGAAAAAACACUUUGUUGUAGCCCAAGCUGUCUAUAAAAGAAAAAGCAGAACUGUACAUAAAAUAAAAUGUUACAAAAAAAGAGAACAAUCUGCUUUGCAUAAUUUGGCUAAGACUAGACGUAUUAAUAUAGUAAUAUAUAUUACUAUAGGCUAGAUAUAUUAAUACAGUAAUAUUUUCUGAUGGAAACUUUUCCAGAACUAUCAUAAAUCAGUGACAACAUUAAAGUGAGUAUGUCAAGAUAAUUAGGAAAAUGGAGAAUAUUAUUUCCUUAGUUCUAUUAUGCAUUUAUAUUUUAGGAUUGCAUAACUGUCUUUCUAAAUGUAAUCACCCAUGCUCUACAUCAAAUGUACAUACAUAUAAGACAUAAACUAUUAACAGAUCCCCAGUUUGUUCAUGGAGUGACUGGUAUGUUAAAAAAGGGUGAUUGGAUUUACUCUUUAGAAAACAACACUCUACUUAUGGAAAAGAAAAGCAAGCCUUGGUAAGUAUCAUGCACUUUAUCUUUCAUAAUUAGUUUUGCUGUCCAUGCAUGGGCAGUUGCAUUUGGCUGUCCCACAUGCCUGCUUCAAGCUGUAGUUCAGUCUCAGCCUUGAGUUUCAGGGAUUUUGACAUGUCGUUGUUUAUCUCCCUACUUUAUGCAACAAGGAAACAUAUUUACAGCCUUCUGACCCUUUGCAUUGUGUCUCUAAGUACAACAUAUAAAUUUAUGUGCAUACCAGGAAUCCCCUUGCAUCUAGUGAAAUCCACAUGUAAUUUUCUGUGCCCAUAUUCCACCAUAUUUUUACAUGAACACAUGGCUUUUAUAACAGAUCCUGCUCAUAAUUUGAGGCCUGCCUUUUUCUGCAAUCCAGCCAUGGAAUGGAUUUUUAUUAAUAGGGCCCUAAGACUUUACACUUGACUUUGGAAAAAGAGCGGGCACUGGUGCCAAGUUUUGAACUACAUGAUCAUAAUUCGGUCUGUUGUGUCACACACAUUCAAAAAGGUAGUUCUAAAAUUCAUGUCCUCAUACGGGCC